CCCAAUGCGCCAAAUCUACUCUAACUACCGCCCCCGACUUCACGAAUCUGGAGGAACUAUCUAAAAUUGCAUCGAACAUUGACACCGAAUUGGAACAAUCGAAAUCGAUAUUGAAAAGUGUGAUGAAUCAACUUGUUGAAAGCAAAUCAGGACACGCAGAAGUGCUCACUGUUUGCAAGGAUAUGAACAAUAGCAAUUGGACAACCGCUGAGCCAUGCUUUAAUGGAGUGAAAAAAAUGACCGGCUUGUCGCUGACCAUGAGUAGAAUGACGGCAAACGCUACUUUCUUGAAUCCGAAUCUUUUGAAAACACUAGAAAAACGUGCUAUUGAAAAAAUCAAUGACUCUCGAUCUGAUAUUGCUCAAUUUCUCGACGUACUGAGCUGUCUUCAAUCCAACAAAGAAUUGGACAAAAUUCAAAAGAACCUGUCAGAUUUGAAUUCGUUCCGAGCAGAUCAAAAAUUCCCGCCGAUAGUCACUGCCGUCGAAGAUGCUCUGAUCUCAGUUUCAAGCCUCAAUAGUGGUCUGAAAUCUCUGGCGCUGUACUUUAGCAAGCGCCGCAAAUUUGCUUCGGAUAAAACAUCCCAGUUUCCAAACGCCGCUGAACACACUAAUUCCAUUGGCCCAGCGGCACAAGAAAUUGCUCGACUGGAGGACGUGCUCCGAGAAAGAGCAAAUGUGGAUAUUAUCAAGAACCAUGCACAAAUUGUGCAACGAGAGUUGGCAGCGAGUGGAGCCACUUUGGCACAGGACGAUAAGGAUAAUCUGGAGAAGCUGGUGGCGCUUGGAGCAUCUUUGGAUGUGAUGUUUGUUCAGCUAGAUGCAUGGAAGAGUGGAAUUAAAAAGUCUGAUUCCACAAAAUUUGUAGACUAUGGUUAUGUUUUCACGGAAGCUAAGAAGGUUGAUUGGGCUAAUCUUGGUGGUCUUAUGGGCUUGGAAAAAUCGUUGGAAAAACUGGUAGAACUUGUGAAGGAUGUUGGCAAUAAGAAGUCGCUCGGUGAAGUUCAGGAUGCUCUGAAGAGCUUGGAUGAUGGUGGACUGGAGUUUUCAAGUUUUCAAAACAGACUUGAUGAACCGAAAAAGGCUCUUGCUGCUCUUGACUUGUUUUUUUCAAAUUUAUUCAAGCCUCUGCCGACUGCAAUUCUCCCACCGCCAGAUCUUGGAAAUUCUGAAAAGAAUGGUCCACCACCACAG
rnacentral:sRNA from 1 species